ACAUGAUAUCUAAACGAUACGAGAUCCUAAAACAUUUCUCUCCGUUCAUAUCUCAACGUUCCUGAAAGUUCGUAAGAAUAAAUAAUUUUUACGAAAACUCACGCUCGAACAAACCAACAGAUUGAACGCCUCAACGAAGUUAAAUAUGAGAAGACAACUCAUGUUUACUUCAAACCAACUCGAAACAAAGUAACUCAAACAAACAUCCAUUAUAUAUAUAAUCCGCAUAGCGGUAGGGGUUCAAAGCCACCGACGGCCAGUCCCGAUAAAAAUAAAAGUGGCCAAAACAGGCCCAUACGAAGUUCGAAGGCCGCACUCGGCCGGACAUAUAUGAACGAAGGCCACACUUGGCCGCAGAAU
rnacentral:lncRNA from 1 species